rnacentral:sRNA from 1 species
UUUCUUUACCAGCAUGGUAAGCAACAGGACAUAUCCCAGCCUUGGACAUGUCUGUAUGAUCCAAGGGACCCAAAGUCAGACAGAGUAAACUCAAGCCUGGCGCUGGCUUUCCGCCGCUUCAUGUGCUUUGGAAGAAGCAGGAGAAGCAAUAGCAGCAGGAGUCCCCAGCAGCUGGAGCCGCAAGAAUGAACUGCAAAGAGGGAACUGACAGCAGCUGCGGCUGCAGGGGCAACGAUGACAAGAAGAUGUUGAAGUGUGUGGUGGUGGGGGACGGUGCCGUGGGGAAAACCUGCCUGCUGAUGAGCUACGCCAACGACGCCUUCCCAGAGGAAUACGUGCCCACUGUGUUUGACCACUAUGCAGUUACUGUGACCGUGGGAGGCAAGCAACACUUGCUCGGACUGUAUGACACUGCGGGACAGGUACAUUUUUAUUAUCUUGAUUCACUGGAGGGUGGUGGUGUAGGGGAGAAAAAGAUCCAUUUGCUUAGGCAGAUGGGACUCAUAGCACAGAUAUUACCCAUUCUGAUCAUUUGGGGCCAAUUUAUUGUCUGCCUAAAUGACAACCAAAAGCACAUUCU